UUGGGCCAAACUCAUGUCAAACUAGGGCCAAGAAAAUGACCCCAGAGGGAAUUUCUUAUCUUGUAGUUCUUUUAGAGGAUCACAGGACCAUGUGCUUCAUCUGAUAUCUUGGUCUCUAGGAAACUGAGAACUUGAUUCCUAAGAUUAGAAGAGCAGAGAAGCAUCCAUGUUUAAUUCAGUAGGUCCCACCUCUACUUCCCAUUAUUGGAUAAGCUAAGCCGACACUUUGACGGCCCAUAGAGAUUGCACAUUUCUCCCUCGUUCUCCGCCAGAGAUGCAGUAGUAACAAUCAAUCAAUCAACAAACAUUAGCCUGGUCCAUGGGAACACAACGAGUUGGACACAACUGGAUGACUGAACAACAACAACAACAACAACAACAACAUGCUUUUGGGGGACUGUGCAUCUGUCUGUCUGAUUUACCUCCACCCGGACAUCUGCGAACUUCAGAAUUUCAUGCUUUCUCCCAUCCCUGUCUCACUCAGCCUGUAUGUAAUUGCCAACUCCCUUUAAAAAUACACAGGCUCGCAAGGUUCAGAACAUAAACAGGUUUAUUAAGAAGGUAAAGAAACCAAAUGAGACUCACUUAUAAAGCUAUAAAAAAGAAUGAUAGCCACCAACGAAUGACUCCCCGAGA